AUGGCGCUGGGGACAACCGAGCCGCUCCUCCUCCAGCCCCCAGAGCAGCGCCGGCGUCCGCCGGGCUGGCUCGCGUGGGGGCUCCCCGCGGCGCUCCUGAUACUGCUGCUGCUGUCCGCCUCCGGCCGUCUCCGUCCGCCGCUUUUCCGCGUGCCGCCGCCGGAGACCGUCCCGCUGACCCUGCUCGCCGGCGCGCAGGAGAAGGGAGCACUGUGCUUGGACGGGACCCCGCCUGGGUACCACCUGCAGAGAGGCUCCGGCGACGGAUCCAACCGCUGGCUCAUCCAUCUAGAGGGUGGCGGCUGGUGCAGCACAACCAAGGACUGUUCCAACCGCAGAAUGUACGGGCUCGGUUCGUCCAACUUCAUGAAACCGAUGCGGUUCGCCGGUGCUGGGAUCCUCGGCAGUGAUCAGCUGCAAAAUCCUGAUUUCUACAACUGGAACAAAGUGUUUGUGCGGUAUUGUGAUGGGGCGUCGUUUUCGGGGGACGCGGAAGGUCGAGCACAGGAUGGAAGCACACUUCACUUUAGAGGAUUGCGCAUCUACCAAGCGGUUAUCGACGAACUCAUGGAAAAAGGACUUGCCAAUGCUACACAGGCCCUCCUUACAGGCUGUUCUGCUGGUGGCCUAGCCACGAUACUGCAUUGCGAUGAUUUCAGUGCACGGUUUUCUCGCGAUGUUUCAGUUAAAUGCCUUGCUGAUGCUGGGUUUUUUCUUGACGUAAUGGAUAUUUCUGGGAAAAGGUCCUUUUGGUCUGUCUAUGAUGGCGUUGUUCACCUGCAGAAUGUUAGAGAAGUGUUGCCCAAGGACUGCCUUGCCAACAAGGAGCCAACCGAGUGUUUCUUCCCCGCGGAGCUUAUUAAGAGCAUCAGGACUCCCAUGUUUAUUCUCAACUCUGCGUAUGAUUCAUGGCAGAUACGAAAUGUCCUUGUACCAGUUUCAUCGGCUCCUGAUAAGUCGUGGUCGAGUUGCAAGGAUAAUAUCCGGAACUGCAAUUCCACACAAAUCAAAGUCCUUGAUGGCUUUAGGAACGCAAUGCUGGGUGCAUUGAAUGUUGUCGAAGAUAAGGAGGACUGGGGAUUGUUCGUCGAUUCAUGCUUCACUCACUGCCAAUCCCUAUAUGGCAUCUCUUGGAACUCAGAAAUCUCCCCGAGGCUUGGAAAUAAGACCAUUGCAGAGGCCGCAGGAGAUUGGUACCAUGGAAGGAGCCAUGGAGUGAAAGAGAUAGACUGCGAGUAUCCAUGCAACCCAACAUGCAGUGGACAGUUGCCUCCAUAA
rnacentral:rRNA from 1 species